rnacentral:rRNA from 1 species
GUGUGCGAUCAUACCAGCACUACAGCACCGAAUUCC